AACCAACAGGGAUUGCCUCAGUAACGGCGAGUGAAGCGGCAAAAGCUCAAAUUUGAAAUCUAGCACCUUCGGUGUUCGAGUUGUAAUUUGAAGAUGGUAACCUUGGGUUUGGCUCUUGUCUAUGUUCCUUGGAACAGGACGUCAUAGAGGGUGAGAAUCCCGUCUGAUGAGAUGCCCAUUCCUAUGUAAGGUGCUAUCGAAGAGUCGAGUUGUUUGGGAAUGCAGCUCUAAGUGGGUGGUAAAUUCCAUCUAAAGCUAAAUAUUGGCGAGAGACCGAUAGCGAACAAGUACAGUGAUGGAAAGAUGAAAAGAACUUUGAAAAGAGAGUGAAAAAGUACGUGAAAUUGUUGAAAGGGAAGGGCAUUAGAUCAGACUUGGUGUUUUACGAUUAUCUUCUCUUCUUGAGUUGUGCACUCGUAUUUCACUGGGCCAGCAUCGAUUCGGAUGGCAAGAUAAUGGCAGUUGAAUGUGGCUUCACUUCGGUGGAGUGUUAUAGCUUCUGCUGAUAUUGCCUGUCUGGAUCG
rnacentral:rRNA from 1 species